UCAGCGGACUACAAGAAGCAGAGCCACCCUCAAUCUGGGUAGACACCAUCUAAUCAGCUACCAGCAAGGCAAAAAAAAAGCAGGCAGGAGAAGAUGGAAGAGCAGACUUGCUGAGACUUCUGGCCUUCAUCUUUCUCUUGUGCUAGAUGCUUCCUGCCCUUGAACAUCAGACUCCAAGUUCUUCAGCUUUUGGAAUCUUGGACUUAUAUCGGUAAUUUGCCAGAGACCCUUGGGCCUUUGGCCACAGACUGAAGGCUGCACUGUUGGCUUCCCUAUUUUUGAGGUUUUGGGACUCGCACUGAUCCACCACUGGCUUCCUUGGCUCCUCAACUUGCAGCCGGCCUAUCAUGGGACUUACCUAGUGAUCAUGAAUGCUGUGACCUCUGAGAUAAUUCACCCACCGGAGUCAGACUGCUGAAGAACACUGGAUGGGUGGAAAAGGAACAUCUCAAGCAGGAGAGAAGGAACUGAGUCAAGAAAGGGCUGCAUCUGGUGAACAUGUCCCUCCCAGUGAUGGAACUCAGGGCUGCUGCAGCCAAGAGUCUAUAACAGUGGAGACGCCUUGAGCAAAGCCCCAGAGCCCUCGAGCUGCCUGUUCCCCUCCUCUGACAUGAUGGGUAAUCUGAUGGAAGCUCUGAGAGGCACUGCCUAGAAUUAAGCCCUAUGUGUAAACGAAGCAACGAAGAAAGAACAUGUGCUAUCAAAUAUGAUUCAUGAUUCAAAUAUAUUUUAAUAUCUUAUUCUUUUCGCACUCUGAGAAACUAUUCUGAUAAUGUGAUUGUUUUCUAAAGGAGUGUAUCUUU
rnacentral:lncRNA from 1 species